rnacentral:lncRNA from 1 species
CAACAAAAAUCACAAACAUAAUAGAAAAUUAUAAAAAAAACACUUAUACAUUAGGAGAGUUCUCAAUAAUAUCAUCUCUAAUUCUAUUACGUAACAACUCCAUAACAUUAGAAGACGUUCCUUGUAUUUCUGAAUGAAUGUUUGAUUUCCCAUCUUCUUCUUCAAGCUCUGGCAUAUUAUCUUCACUUGCAUAAUGGUCAAACUCAACAUCGGUAGAAGAAUUUAUUCAUAUAAAAUUAUGUAUAGUCAUAGUAGAUGUAACAAGAUGAACCUGAGUGUCAAACUCGAAAGAUGUCACUGAACGUAAAAUAGAAAAUCUAUUUUUCCAAACUCCAAAUGUUCGUUCAAUUGUACAUCACAAGCUAGAAUGAAAAAAAUUGAAAACCUCGUUCGGAUUUCUGAAACUUGAGUUACGUCCAAAAUCAAGGAGAUGAUAACGCUCCCCCUUAUAUGAUCCUAAAUAGCCCAACAUUGUUGGAUAUUCUGAAUCAACUAAAUAAUAUUUACCUAAUUCAAGUAAGAAAAAUGUUAUUAAUGAAAUGAUAUGAAAAAUAAUAUCAAUAGCAUGGGAAUUUAAAAGACAUCAUUUUAGGGUUACUUACUUGCUGGAGAAUAGGGAAAUUUAAUAUUUUGCCUUCUAAGUGCUUGAUCAAAUAUUCUAGCAUCAUGUGCAGUACUUUCCCACCCUGGCCAUACAAAAGUGAAGCACAUAUCCCAAUCGCAUACAGCCAUUACAUUUUGUGAAGUGAAAUCUUUCCUACCGAUAUAUUUUAUUUGAUCCUUAGAAGGAACAAUACAAGGUACAUGUGUGUCAUCUAUAGCUCCAAUACACUUUAUAAAAUAUGGCCAGUACCUAUUAUCUUGUCUUAAUUUAGUGUGAACAUCAUAAAGAGUUGGAUCUUUUGGCUUAAUGACGUCCAUAGCCAAUUUCAAACAUGCUAGUAAAACUUGAUGAAAAUAUAUGCUAACUGUCUCCCCAGAGUGUUGGAAUCUUUCUUGAAUCAUUCUAUUCCCUACCCCCAUGUCCUACCAUCAUUAAGAACAUAGCAACCAUCUCCUCUACAGUCAUGUAUCUUGUUGGUUCUAAGCCAUACUGCUCCUUUAACGUUUUGCAGAAUAGAAGAAAAAUAUGUUUUUCCAUUCUAAACAUCUUAUAACAACGCUUACCAUGCCCUUCAAGCAUUUCUUUAACAAAAUGAAAACCUGUAUGAAGAGAAGUUCUGCAUGGAGCCUUUAAACAAAAUCUUAAGUAAUACUCUGCUGCUAGAGUUUCACCGCUAAUUGCCAAAUCAAAAACAUCAUCAAUAUCAUCACCAAUUAUAAGAACUUCUUCAUCAAUAUCGUCAUUAUUAUGUUUAUUCAAUAACAUAUGUAAGAAAAGAUCAAAACAAAUAUUACUUAUCUAAUAAGAACUUCAUUUACAAACAAACAUUACAUAAAUGUGCAAGUGCAUGGUUUUCUGUAAGACCGAUUUCCUAUUAACCAGAGCUUGAUAGUCAUUUUUUUCAUUUCCUAAAAGGCAGGGUUGAAAGAUUUAAUAUUUGUGGUAAGACUGUAGAUUGGCAAGCUGACUCAAAUAAUUUCGAUAAGUUCACUAUAACUAUCGAACUAUAUAACUCAACCAUUUACUAGGUACCCCACCUAACGGUGCAGCAUGUUACAUAGACAAACUAAACACAUGCAUACACCUAAUAAAUUUUUGUUGUUGUCUGUAUCCUUUAGCUAUUGUUUACCACUGAUCAUGUUAAUGAAGUAAAUUUGACAUUAAAGAUACAUAUUCAAUAUGUCACAUUAUAAUGCAACACAACUGAAAGUAAUCAGAUGUUAAAAAUAAUGUAAUGGAAGGGAACUUCAUUUACAAACAACUUAGAAUAUUCCCAUAAAUAGCAUAAUUACAAACAACUUAUAUACACAUAAACAUAACUUAACGGGAUUUUACAUACAAAAUACAAUAUUCCCACAAAUAGAAGUUUCAAUAAUCAGAAAAUGCACAAACAUAAUUACAAAAACUAAAACAUCUUAUAUUUUUAGUCUUUGUGUAGUUCAGACAUCUUUUCCAAUCAUAGCAAUUGCAACUCUGGGUCUUCUUGUGCUAAAAACAUUUCUCUCAUUGAUUGCUUGACUAGUAACAUAUUCUCUUUCCACCAUAAAUCACUACCAACAAUCAUGCUAGGUAAAUUACGAACAACAUCCAUAACACUCUUAAUACUGAGCGGAGUGUCUUUGACCCCACAAUAAUUGCAUAACACAAUUCCACAGCUUCUGCAAUUCUCUCAAUUGAUGAUGUGAUCCUUAAACUAGUACUGACUUUACUUUUUUCCUUUUCAGUUGUAAUUGAUGAUGCCUUCCUUUUUUUAGUUUUAUUACUACUCUCAUUUGUGUCUCUUUUUUCAGUUACUUCUGGUUCUUCUAAGUUGAUAUGAUCCAAUCCUUCUCCUGUAUUACUUCUUAACUCAUCCUCCAAAAUAAGCUCCUAAUUAGUUGUUGGAUUUUCAAACUCAAAUUGUUUCUCAGGUUGGAACCAAUUACUUCCAAGUAUGCAAUCGGAUAAAACCCCAAAUGAUGGCGCACAUGCAUGUUCACCAGUGGCAACAACAUCUUUAAAACAAAUUUCCAUCAACUCACGACAUUGUAAACCUUUAUCUUAGAAUUUCUCUAUAUUUGGGUUCUCCUAUAUUCAUGGAAGAACAAUUUAAAAUAUAUUAGCAUUCGAAACAAAAUAAUAAUUCACUAUGUUUUAGCGAAAAUGAAUUUAAGAAUUCUUAAUACUUUUUAUCUUCCUUCUCCACCAUUCAACACUCGCUUGAACCGUCCUUUUCUCGCAGUCACAUCCUAAGUCAGUCUCAUUUCCAACUAAAGUAUCCUAAUCUUUCCAAAUAAGUUUCAAACUAUCCCAUUUGUUCUUCAGUUUGGUCUUAUCAUAGAUUUUUUCCAGUCUUAUCAUUAAAUUUUUGCACCAAGUUAGACCAUCCUAUUUUGCUAAAAUGAGUGCCAGGACGAUUUCCAGCAGUUAUUUCUUCCACACAUAAAUUUAAAAACAAUUCUAUUUUUCUGCUUCCCAUUUAGCCUUUUCACUAUUAUUAUUAUUAUCUUGUGUCACUUUCUUGCUCUUGCCAAUAUGCAUUGAAAAGCAUGUAAUGAAUAAGUAAAAGAAGGAAUCAUGACAAUAUUUUCUAUUCUUCAAGCCAAAAGAAGCAAACAUUUAAUAGUGUUGGUUCUUUGUACCAUAUUAAAAUAUAUGUACUGUGCAUUCUAUAGUUCUAAACACAUAUUUGGUUCAAAUUGGAUAAAAUAUUUUUUAUUGAUAGACCCUUAACCUAUAUCAAAACUAUAUUCAAUCUAACAUAACAUUAGUUUUACUAACAUACUUAAAUCAAUAAUUAAUUAACUACUCUAAUGGCUAAUUCAAGUAGCAAGUUGUACAUUUGAAAGAAAAUGAAAGGAACAUAACAUUAUGGCUAAUUCAUAGGAUCACAUGGGAGGGGUCUAUGCAGCAAAUGUCAAUAUCUAUAGGAAAUGAAAGGAAGAUAAUACUAAAACACAGAACUAACAACAACAAAAAAAGAAUUGAGUAAUCAGUAAUAUCAGUAGUAAUCAGCAGAGAAACUUUUUAAUUGAGCUAAUAUCUAAUUCACAGUGACUGAAGGAUUACACCAAUUUAAGACAAUACAUUUUCUUAUCACUCUACAUUGAUUGUAUACUGAGUGAUGGAAGAAUCAUACCAACAAAGAAGAAACAAAGUUUCCAUGAGUUCCCCAAAAAAAAAAAUAAAGCUCCCAUGUGACAUACCGAUACUGAUAAAAAAACUAUAGUAGCAAUCAGAACUUAACCAUGCCGGGUUCUAUGUGUACAAGUCACAUGUUUGCAAGAUAGGGAGAACUUUUAUCCCAAUGGGAUGAAUAAUUUUGGUAAAGAUUCAAUUCAAAUACUUUUUGACCCAUAUGUGCAGCAAAUUCCCAUAAAAUAGAGGCUUCAAUAGACACUCAACUGUUGAUCUCUUAUUAGGAAGGCCAACAUAUGCAAAUUUUCUCAAUGUUAAGAACUCCAUUAUUAAACAUCCACUAAAUAACAAUUCUAUUUUUUGUAAAUUAACAGAAAAAAUCUCCAGGUAGAUGCAUAUGCACAUCACAUAGGCCAAACAUAAUAUCUAUCUGUGUCUCAGCAUCUCGAAGAGAAAUUCGGACUCGACAAAAAAAUGACAAAUUAACAAUAGAUUGAGAACAAAAUCUAAAAGGAGUGGUCUUAUGGUAUUCACCCAUAGUUCCUCAAUUCAAAAUACAGUAUAAUACAUCAUAUAUUUGAAAAUAAUGCACAAGAGUAAAGGGGCAAAGAAAACAUACCUUGAGAAAUUGCAGUUUGAUAGAAAAAUUUUCAAGUUCAAUCCACAAUUUCCUUUAUUGUUGAAGCGAUUUGCUGUUCACAUGAAGGAGAAACCCUAAAAUAUUGUAUAACUGGAGAGAAGCGUAACUUACUGAAGAGAAGGUCUUAUUAUAUCCUAAAUAUUAGGCUUAAAGUAAUAAGGUUAUUUUGGUAUUUACUUUUCAAGUUCAAUCCACAAUUUCCUUUGUUGUUGAAGCGAUUUGCUGUUCACAUGAAGGAGAAACCCUAAAAUAUUGUAUAAC